AUGCUGAAUACAGCUUUCUCUCUUUGCCCUCUACUUCGCAGGCACCACAAGGACUUACUUUUGAAAAAACACUAGAUUCUACAUUAACUGAACGUGAGAAGAUCCUGCUGAAUCAUUUGACUCAAACUAAAUUAAGCUUAAAGCGUUUGGCAGUCAAAAUGCGAACUGUGAGGAAGACACUAAUAAAUUGUUUGUAGCUUAUAACGAUAUUAGCAGGGUCCGCACUGACAUGCCUAAUAGAAAUAAUAAUGAUGACAUUCAAGUUGUUGAUGAGAUAGUUUAUCCUGUUUUGUCUUUGCCCAAUGAAAUCGAUUUCUUUUUAUAUGAAAAUGAUUUAUGUAACUUUUUGGAGCAGCCAGUAGUAUAUGUUAGUGGUUAUUUAGCUGCAAAAUUAUUAGAACGAAAUGUCAGUAAUGUAAAGAUUCGUUAAAAGUUGAUAAACCAGUAGACAACUUAAACAAUUAGUUUUAAAGAAUGGUGGAAAGAUUCGAGCUCAUUGUGCUUUCCUUCUAAACCUUUAUGUCAUUUUGUAAACAAGAGCCAAAUUCAUUUCAAAGCUAUUAUAUCUCAGGACUUAAAAAUUAAAAAUAUAAAGCAG
rnacentral:misc_RNA from 1 species